UACCUACGGGGCGCAGCAGUGGGGAAUAUUGGGCAAUGGGCGCAAGCCUGACCCAGCAACGCCGCGUGAAGGAAGAAGGCUUUCGGGUUGUAAACUUCUUUUAAGAGGGAAGAGUGGAAGACGGUACCUCUUGAAUAAGCCACGGCUAACUACGUGCCAGCAGCCGCGGUAAUACGUAGGUGGCAAGCGUUGUCCGGAUUUACUGGGUGUAAAGGGCGUGUAGCCGGGCCGGCAAGUCAGAUGUGAAAUCCGGGGGCUCAACCCCCGAACUGCAUUUGAAACUGUUGGUCUUGAGUAUCGGAGAG
rnacentral:rRNA from 1 species